AAGACCUUGCGCUUUUGGAGCGGCCGAUGUCUGAUUAGCUUGUUGGUGAGGUAAAGGCUUACCAAGGCUUCGAUCAGUAGCUGGUCUGAGAGGACGGCCAGCCACACUGGGACUGAGACACGGCCCAGACUCCUACGGGAGGCAGCAGUGGGGAAUUUUGGACAAUGGGGGCAACCCUGAUCCAGCCAUGCCGCGUGAGUGAAGAAGGCCUUCGGGUUGUAAAGCUCUUUCAGCCGGAACGAAACGGUUACGGUUAAUACCCGUGACUACUGACGGUACCGGAAGAAGAAGCACCGGCUAACUACGUGCCAGCAGCCGCGGUAAUACGUAGGGUGCAAGCGUUAAUCGGAAUUACUGGGCGUAAAGCGUGCGCAGGUGGUUUUGUAAGUCAGAUGUGAAAGCCCCGGGCCUAACCUGGGAACU
rnacentral:rRNA from 1 species